CCCUUUUGUAUACAGGACGCGGUAGAACGCGCCGGCUUGAUGAACCCGAAGCCGCGGUCGUUCCAGCGGCAGGCCG
rnacentral:tRNA from 1 species